rnacentral:rRNA from 1 species
GACGAACGCUGGCGGCGUGCCUAAUACAUGCAAGUCGAGCGAAUGACGAGAAGCUUGCUUCUCUGAUUUAGCGGCGGACGAGUGAGUAACACGUGGGCAACCUGCCCUACAGAUUGGGAUAACUCAGGGAAACCUGGGCUAAUACCGGAUAAUCCUUCGAAUCACAUGUUUUGAAGUUGAAAGGCGCUUCGGCGUCACUGUAGGAUGGGCCCGCGGUGCGUUAGCUUGUUGGUGGGGUAACGGCCUACCAAGGCAACGAUGCAUAGCCGACCUGAGAGGGUGAUCAGCCACAUUGGGACUGAGACACGGCCCAAACUCCUACGGGAGGCAGCAGUAGGGAAUCUUCCACAAUGGACGAAAGUCUGAUGGAGCAACGCCGCGUGAGUGAUGAAGGUUUUCGGAUCGUAAAACUCUGUUGUAAGGGAAGAACAAGUACGUUAGGAAAUGAACGUACCUUGACGGUACCUUAUUAGAAAGCCACGGCUAACUACGUGCCAGCAGCCGCAGUAA